ACCACGCAUGCGCCGCUGCUGCCCUGUUGUGGGAACUUGACUCAAGGGCACGGAAAUGGUUUUUCCACCUGCCCAACGAGGUCUGCCUCUCCUAAGAUGAGCUCAAGUCUAAAGUCAUACACAGCCAGGCCAGAGGCUUCAGAAUGGUGAAAAGAAGCUUGUGGCUCCUUUUGACUCUUGUGGUUGAAGGACAAACUAUCCUACACAGCCUGCACAGUGGAAGAAUGUAAAUAAAAAUGUGAAAAGAAA